UACGUAGGGGGCAAGCGUUGUCCGGAUUCAUUGGGCGUAAAGAGCGUGUAGGCGGCCAGGUAGGUCGGUUGUGAAAACUGGAGGCUCAACCUUCAGAGGUCGACCGAAAACCAUCUGGCUAGAGUCCGGGAGAGGAGAGUGGAAUUCCUGGUGUAGCGGUGAAAUGCGCAGAUAUCAGGAAGAACACCCGUGGCGAAAGCGGCUCUCUGGAACGGUACUGACGCUGAGACGCGAAAGCGUGGGGAGCGAACAGG
rnacentral:rRNA from 1 species